GUCAUCACAGAGCUCCUCCUCCGGAACGCCUGGCUCUCGCGGCUGGGACCAGGUCCGGCCUGUUACAUUGGUGGGAUGGCGGCAGAAGAGCAGCCCCUUCUGGGCCGGGACCGAGGCAGUGGCCAGGUCCACUCCGGUGCUGCAGCCGAUCAGGAGCUCUGCAUAGACCAGGCUGUGGUCUUCAUUGAAGACGCCAUAAAGUACCGCUCCAUCUACCACCGCAUGGAUGCUGGUUCAUUGUGGCUUUACCGCUGGUAUUACUCGAACGUCUGCCAACGUGUGCUGGGCUUCAUCAUUUUCCUGAUCCUGAUCUUGGCUUUUGUGGAGGUCCCAUCUUCCUUCACAAAGACUGCAGAUGUGCGCUACCGUUCCCAGCCCUGGCAGCCGCCCUGUGGCCUGACCGAGACGAUCGAGGCGUUCUGCUUGCUUGCCUUCCUGGUUGACCUCUCUGUGAAGGGCUACUUGGUUGGGCAGGCCCAGUUGCAGCAGAACCUGUGGCUGCUGGCCUACUUUAUGGUGCUGGUUGUGUCUGUGGUGGACUGGAUCGUUUCGCUGAGCCUUGCUUGUGAGGAGCCCCUGCGGAUGCGCCGGCUGCUCCGCCCCUUCUUCCUGCUGCAGAAUUCCUCCAUGAUGAAGAAGACCCUGAAGUGUAUACGGUGGUCGCUACCAGAAAUGGCCAGUGUCGGGCUGCUGCUGGCCAUCCACCUGUGUCUCUUCACCAUCAUUGGGAUGCUGCUGUUCACCAUUGGUGAGAAGGAUGAAGCACAGGACCAGGAGAGGCUGGCCUACUUCCGGAACCUUCCAGAAGCACUGACCUCACUCCUAGUGCUGCUGACGACUUCCAACAACCCUGAUGUGAUGAUCCCUGCGUAUACUCAGAACCGGGCCUUUGCUCUCUUCUUCAUAGUCUUCACCUUGAUAGGAAGCUUGUUUCUGAUGAACCUGCUGACAGCCAUCAUCUAUAAUCAGUUCCGUGGCUACCUAAUGAAAUCUCUACAGACCUCACUGUUCCGGCGGCGACUGGGGGCCCGUGCAGCCUACGAAGUCCUCGCCUCCAGGGCCGGGCCAGCUGGAACCACCCCUGAGUUCCCCUGCUGGCCGGCGCCAGACUGGAUAUUCCACCGGGAGCUGUAUGGGCUACCAAGCCCUCAGUGCUUCCAUUAUCCUGUUUGUUCUUUCCUGUUAGCCCACUUGUGUCUCAGAGUUGGGGUGAAUCCUGAGACCUUCCUGCCAGUGCUUCAGAAAACGCAGCUGAACAAAACCCACAAACAAGCCAUUAUGCAGAAGGUGCAGUCCUAUGAAGGCCGCCCAAUGCUGGCUGAUGAGUUCCAGAAACUCUUCGAUGAGGUUGACAAAGGUUUGGCCAAAGAGCGCCCGCUGAAGCCCCAAUACCAGUCUCCAUUUCUGCAGACUGCCCAGUUCAUCUUUAGCCACCACUACUUCGACUACCUGGGGAACCUCGUCGCUCUGGGAAACCUCUUGUCUAUUUGUGUGUUCCUGGUGCUGGACUCAGACCUGCUGCCUGGGGAACGUGAUGACUUUGUCCUGGGGGCUCUGAGCUUUGCCUCUAAGAAGAAAACGAUCUCUUCUCUGAUAUCAACAUGUUCUGUCAAGUUCCUUGGGAAUUGAGGCUUUUCACUUGGAAUUUUGAGCAUUCUGUCAGUCCUCAGAUUCUUGACUACAUCUUCAUCUUGUACUACCUGCUGGAGCUGCUGUUUAAGGUGUUCGCGCUGGGCCUGCCAGGCUACCUGUCCUACCAUAGCAAUGUGUUUGAUGGCCUCCUCACCAUCAUCCUGCUGGUUUCGGAGAUUUGCACCCUGGCUGUAUACCGAUUGCCGCACUCAGGAUGGAAGCCAGAGCAGUAUGGCCCACUGUCGCUCUGGGACAUGACACGACUGAUGAACACACUGAUUGUGUUUCGCUUCCUGCGCAUCAUCCCCAACAUAAAGCCAAUGGCUGAGGUAGCCAACACCAUCCUGGGCCUAAUCCCUAACUUGAGGGCAUUUGGUGGGAUCCUGGUGGUGGCAUACUAUGUGUUUGCCAUGAUCGGGAUCAACCUGUUCCGAGGUGUCAUCGUGCCUCCUGGAAACAGCAGCCUGGUUCCCGACAACAACUCAGCUGUAUGUGGAAGCUUUGAGCAGCUAGGUUACUGGCCCAACAACUUUGACGACUUUGCUGCUGCUUUGAUCACACUGUGGAACGUGAUGGUGGUGAACAAUUGGCAGGUGAUCCUGGAAGCCUAUAAGCGCUACGCAGGCCCGUGGUCAAUGGUGUAUUUUGUGCUAUGGUGGCUGGUGUCCUCUGUUAUCUGGAUCAACCUGUUUCUGGCUCUUCUUCUGGAGAACUUUCUCCACAGAUGGGACCCUCAAGGUCAUAAGCAGCUCCUUGUUGGGACCAAGCAGAUGUCUGUGGAGCUCAUGUUCAGGGAUAUCCUAGAAGAGCCCAAGGAGGAGGAACUGAUGGAGAAGCUACACAAACACCCACACUUGCAUCUGUGCAGGUGACAUCAGAGUGGCUUCCUUGCUGGGGUGACAGGACAGAGAUGCUGGCCUGGGCCCAUGCUGUGGAGGAAGCAACUGGUCGAGGCAGAGCAAGAAAAGAUGGUGCCUGGGUCAGACCACUCAGAGACAGACAGAGGCUGGGACAAGGACUCAUCCUCUGUGGUUGCUCAGCAGUAGCCAAGGUGUAGCUUUGGCAGACCAUUAGUCGGCACCACAGGGCCACAUUCCUCCAUUUGUUGCUCCCCCAAGCUGUCUUGGUGAGACUUGCUAAGGAGAGAGAGUGACUUCCAAGGGUCCUUCCUCAAAGCCAGGAAGCAAGAAGGCCUCAGCUCUCCUUGAUACCCACAAACUUAUCUGUGCCUUCAGCCUCAGUGGCAUUUGUGAACCCAAGCCUGUACAGGACAGUAACUGGCAGGUCUCCAGGACAUUGGGGUUGGUGUCAUGUGUAGAGAAUGUCACCUCUUUGUUUCAGUGCUGUGGAUGUGAUGGGGGUGUCCCGGGGGUGGGGAGGGUGAGGUCACAAUGUCAAUCAUUUUCUGUUUUAUAAAGAAUGAGAUCAUUCUUACUCUGACCUCUUUCUACUUCAGGGUGGUUGGUUGUGGGUUAUAUAGGUUGUGGGCUACACAAGAGCUCCAGGUUGUGAGGUGUGAGCUCCCACUUGUGAUGAGAAACAUCCCUUAGUAACACGCACUUGUGAGCCCAAGGUGGCCCUGUGUUGUUUGUCCUCAAGGUUUGUGGACAGCAGAGGGAGCUGGGGGAGGAAGGUGGGAGAGGGAUCAACUCAGAGUACAAGGAGAAGGGAUCGACUCGGCUCUGAGGCAGACCGACCUCUGGAUUUCUCGUUUCAGAUGCAACUCUGGGGGUUGGUGGUGGAGUUUCUUGGGGACCUUUCAAGCUGUGGGCUGGCUCCAAGUGACGUCUGCCUUGGGCACUGACACCGGAUGGGGGCCUGGGACUUACUCGUUUGUAGGCUACGGGUCCCUGGGUGUCUCCGUGGUCUGGGAGAGGAACCCCAGGGAGUGUGACUGAAGGAGCUUAGGGAAGCACAGUGCUCAGGCUGGAGUGCAGGAGAGGUGCCUGCUCCCUCCUAGGGAGUCUUAGGCUCCCAGCACCCUAGGAAUGGCUUAGGAGACCUAGUCAUUUCCCUGACACCCUCAGUGUAGAGCCUUUAGGACUCCUGAUGACAGUCUGGGACCUGCUCCUCAGCAAGCUGCCUUCCUGGAGGGUGGAUUGGAGUCCACACCACUGGAGCCCAGUCAUGAGCUGGGCCAGUUUCUUAUGUGAUGGCUGGACCUGGCAUGGAAAAGCGCUGUCUCUGGUCCCCGACCCCAACUGCUAAGCCUUGAGCGCCACCUACUGAUGAGACGGGCUCUGCUGAGCUAUCCAUGCUCAGAGGCCUCUGAGCCACCCCAGAAGCGGCCCCUGGGUUUUCCAGGCCUGUUCACAUGUUUUAAGUCCCCGGUUCUCACCUCAGAGUGAGCCUGACCUGGUGCUUGUUAGGUGGAUGUCAGUGACCUGGUUCUGCCUCUGCUGUCCAGGGGCUGCCCAGUCCACCCAGAAUCACCCACCCUAGCUUUUGUGCAGAAAUGCACCCUGUGGGUCAUUUUGAUAAGAGUGAGGUGGGUGGAGGGAGUUGAUUUCCACUCAGAUGGCCCUGCCCUCAGUAAGGGUAGGUGGGGUGCUUAUCACUGGAGUGUGUGGAGGGAGCGGAGGGACCAGAGCAGUGUUCUAGGGACCGCCACAACUCACCACCCUGUCCAUUUCAAAUGCUGUGAGUCACUAGUGGCCCUGGUGGGGAAAACCUAUUUGAGGAGUGUGGGCUUGUGCUUCUCAGGGGCCUUCAUGGCUGCUCUGAGGGUUUCCCCUGUUUUCUUAGUACUGGGUACUUGGUACUGGAUACAAAAGCUAGGUAGCCUGCAGCGCCCAGUGAAGAAUGGAGCUGAUGUCGCACACAACCCUGCUGGCUGUCAGAACAAAAGGUGGGUGUGGGAGACCACUGAGGCUGAGGAGCCUGGUGCUGGGGUCAGCAGGAGGUGUGUACAAAGACAGCCGGUGUUGUUGGGGGGGGGGAGGCUGGGCCUGCCGGAGCAACAGCGAGCUCUUAGUGAAGUGAGGCACCCUUGGCCUGAACACUGAGCUUGGGCUGCCCACACAUCAGUGGAGUACUGGGCUGGAGUUUUUAGACGUGUUGAGUGCACGCUGGGAGCUGACAAGGGGACCUGAGACAUGGAGCUUGCAUCUACCUGGAGAUCUUAGCCUGCCCCACGAGUGCUUACAACCUGAACACUGAAAAUGGUUAUUUUCUACACCAGACACCUUGAACAGAAGCUGCCACCAGGUGCUCCUGAAAGUCCCUGACACCCAAUCCCAGGCCAUAUUGGAAGCAUUGCCUAGACUUGUGUGGCUCUGCCUCCCUGUCUUUCGGGACCCAUCCAGGCCAGACCUGGGUCUUGCUAGGUCCUUUGAAGAGCAGCCAGUGUUCUUAACUGUCGACCAUCUCUCCAGCCUGCUUCUUCCAGGUUCAAUCCUACACAGCGGACUUUCUGGCUUCCUCUUUCUCCCAAUGAUUGCCAGUCUAGUUAUCCAGUGACCACCAGCUACUGGUUCCUGUUACUGCCCACCCCACUGGCAGAGCUAUCCCACACUGCCCUUGGCUCAAGUCGCACACUGAGGGCUCACAGUAGCCUCCAACAGUCUUGAGAGCCCUUACUUGUCGAGGUCAGCAGUCUUCAUCCUUGGAGUUGCAUAUCAGAUAUCCUGCAUAUCAGAUAUUUACAUUAUGAUUCAUAAUAGUAGCAAAAAUAGUUAUGAGGUAGCAACAAAAUUAAUUUUGUGGUGUGUGUGUGUGUGUGGGUGGGUGUCACCACAAUGUGAGGAAUGUCAUUAGAGAAGUUGACAUUCCAGCUCUUUGUCUGGCCAGAAACACCAACACUAUGACAGCGAGGCUCCGGCUGCUGUGUUGCUGUAAGAUUACAUGUAAAUCACAGAUGGGUGUAGGGCAUACACCUUUAAUCCCAGUGUUCAGGAGGCAGAGACAGCUGGACCUCUCUGUGUUGCCAUCCUGGUCUACAUACUAAGUUCUAGGACAUCCUGGGCUACAGAGUGCGAUUCCAUCUCAAUCAGAACAAGCCCCACCUUGGGAGAAGAGCUAGACUUGUAUGUUUUCUCACUUUGUUCUUAAAUCUUUGCUGUUGUGUCAUUUGAUAUGGGCUCUCUAUGGAGCUUCUGGCAGCCCCCUCCCUGAGUACCCCACCACAGAGAUCAAGGGUGAGCCUCCCUCCACCUCUGGUCUGAGUUCCCAGAGAGCUAGUGAUCAUCCAUCAUAACUGCGUGAACAGUGUAGUUGCCCUCUGACUGGUGCUCAGCCAGGGGUUUGACUCCUGAUCAUAACUAUUUGAUCAUAAUGAUUUGAUCAUAACUAUUUGAAGACUGGGAAUGUGCCCAGGUCUUAUUGAAGCUCUGUGAUGUGUGGAAGUAGCAUUAUGGUAAUCUGCAGUUGUCAUCCAGAUGUGGUCUAAAGUGUCACUUCACGUGGCUGGUGGUGUCUUUGGGUGGGGCCAUCCUGGAGUCAUACCCUAGGGCUACUGAGAUGCCUGUAACUCUGGGGCCCACAAGAGAACCCCUGUCCAGGUGCCAUAGGAGGUGACCAAAAGGGGUAAUCAUUUCGUGGGGAGACAAGGAUGGAGAGAAAGGGGUGUGGGUGCCUCGUGUUCUGGGCCUGGUGCAUGUUCAUGUUUGACUUUCUUACAUGUGCUGUAUUAUGUGGAACAUUAACAUGACAGAAGGUGGGUCACA